rnacentral:rRNA from 1 species
UACGGGGGGGGCAAGCGUUGUUCGGAAUUACUGGGCGUAAAGGGCUCGUAGGUGGCCAACUAAGUCAGACGUGAAAUCCCCAGGCUCAACCUGGGAACUGCGUCUGAUACUGGAUGGCUUGAAUUCGGGAGAGGGAUGUGGAAUUCCAGGUGUAGCGGUGAAAUGCGUAGAUAUCUGGAGGAACACCGGUGGCGAAGGCGGCAUCCUGGACCGGUAUUGACGCUGAUGCGCGAAAGCCAGGGGAGCAAACGGG